GAGUCGUGAAGCUGAGAUGAUACCCUGCUACAUUAAGGAUAUUUUAUAUUCUGAUUUGUUUUAAGUGAAAUAAUAUUUAAGGUUUCUGUUGUGUUCCAAGUAAUUGAAAGUACGAAGUGAUUUAGUGAAGUUUACCGUUGUACUUUGGCACUUUCAUGAAGUUGAGCAGCCCUUCUCAUUUCCCUAAAUAUAUCAAUUUUGCAUAAUGAUUACCAUGCAUUUCAUAUUACUAGUAAACUUACAGCUGAGGCAUCGUACAGUGAGUGAAGCAGGGAAUGAUUAAUGAAGACCAUUCCCCGACCAACUUGAGGAUAUCGUAUUAUUUAGCUUUUAUUUAGCAUACUGUCUUUCGUUAAACCGAUAUUUUUAUCAACAUUUUGGAUUUGAAAGAGACUGAAAUUACGUCUCAUUGAAUUAAGAGGUAUACCAGUUACAUGCACAUAAUUUGGACUGCAAACUGGGCAUAUUAAUUUGUUUCCCAUGGGAUCUUACAUACUGAUAAAUGAAACUCUAAAUACUUUCAAAACUUAGUGGAAUAUGAAAACCAAAUUCUUCUUUGUCAUUCCCAUUUCGUUCAUUAAUAAUCAUUCUGCUUAGGCCUGGAUACUGUCACAGUAAAAUAAGGUGAUGGAAAAAGAUUAUGAGCACCCAAAUUAAUUUAGUCCCAACUAUCAUGUGUAGCUGCCUGCAAUAUGUGACAAGUAGUAGCAAUGUGCUUCCAAAGCUUUGUUUCAUGCCUUGCCCCCUCACUCUUUUCACAUUACUUGGUAUUUCGCCACAGAAUUUAGUUGCACAACAGCACAAAUAAAAAAUAACUGUUGAAGCUGAAAAAGAAAUGUUCACAAUGGACUGCACUGUAUAAGCAGUUCAACUUCAGGUGAACCACUACACUGCCAAUGCAUAAACUGUUGUUUUGUUUAUGGUGUGGAAUGCAACACCUAUGUUUCAUCCCCAGUGACGACAUGGUUGCGAAACUAAUUGCAUUUCUCUGCUUGUAGCUGUAGUAAUGUCAGUGCUGCAGCCUGAUAUUCAGUUUUGUGUCCAUUUGUCAGUUGCCUUGGAACCCAUCUUGCACGCACUUUAUGAAAACCAAGCCACUGGAGACCGUUUUAUACAACACCGAAUAACACAUCUGGAACUGAUGAGAGAGUUCUGAAAUUGUGAAGUGCUGAUUCUGCAAAAUGCUUGCUGCGCACUUUCCAUCACUUCUGGUGUCACCAGAGAUGGUUGGAUACUAUGGUCUAUGUCAUGAAUUUUGGUUCAUUGUUUAGUGAAGUGCCUGCACAUCAUUUGACCCUACUGUCACUUAUAAUGUUCUGUCCAUACAUGGGAACAACUGGCAGUGGAUCUCUGGUGGAUAUUGCUUUUGAAGGUACAAAAUCAAUGCAGCCAUUUUAUCUUAGCCUGUGCAGUAACCACUGCCAUCACAAGACUGAAACUACACUGCAGUAUUCCCACAUACCUCCUCCCUACUCCUGUGCAUGCAUAUUCAUGUCCAACUAGUCAUGUCAUCUCUGGAUACAAUUGGAACUUCUACUUUCUGAAUGUACCUUGUUGAUAUUACCUUUGGAGGUAGUAAUUGUUUUCAGGAAUGAUGUGCCUUACUAUGUUUAUCAAUUGCAAAAUAAAAAUCAUGAGAUGCCACCAGAACUUCCGGUGUCAUCUGCUUGUAUAUAUAUUUCUUACAUAUGAUGCUCUGGAAUUCCACAUUUGGCACUCAGUACUACAAAGAAAUUGCAGAAUCACUUCUAAAUAUGUCAGUGGCUACUUUUUUGCCCAUGUGGAGGACAUAUAGCCAGCAAAUGUAAUCUAAAGAUGCUUUGUGAGCAAUCUACUCAUAGUCCAUUGUUAGUAGCUACCUCUUGUGUGCAGUGCACUCCCUGAGCCACUUAUAAAAGAGCUUUGCUGCCCCCAGUACCAUGAGCUGAGCUCAAAUGUUAUAACCCAUGAUGUCACAGAAGUCUGUCCUUUUGAUCUUCCACUCAGUUCAAAACCAAUAUGAAAAUGUUUAUCAUAUUCACAUUUUCUGUUAGUAACCAAAAGAAAACUACGUAUUAUCUCAAAACAGCUCUCACAUCAUUGUACAUGUUCUGUCUUCUGAUGACUAUGAUGUUUUUAGAAUUUUUUGUGCACACUCAUUCUGUUGUAUUGAAUACUUUCACAGCUUUGUUUGGAAGUCUACCUCAGUUAGAGUCUGAUUAAUAUUGCCCAAGACAAUCCUGACUUCUUUUUUUAAUAAAUUAUCUUCCAGACUUUUUGGUGUGAUUGACGUGUCACAUAAGUAGAGAAAUUUGCUACUUAAAGCUCUCUUCUGUGAGGUAGCUCCAUUAGAUGAAUUUUUAAACAAAAGUAGUUUAAAAUUGAAGUCGUGGGUAUUAGAAGCAUCACAGAACACACUUCACAAGAAUAGUGUACACUGUUCUUCAGAGAGAAUAGUGUUAUGACAAUCUGUAUAUAAUGUGGCUAGUGUUUAAUUGCCUAUCUUAUAUUAAAGAAAACAUAAUUAAUUAUUAUCUGAGGAUAUCUGAAAUGAGCACUACACAGGGAAUGGAUAUAUAAGUGAUAUACUGUACACUAUACCAACAAAGAUUGCUGUAAGUAUUUGAACUGGGCUACUUGUGCAAACUCUUUAAAAGUGCCUACACAGUGUUUAUGGAUACAUUCAAAAUAAUUGUAAACAAAUAAGUAUAACAUAGUACAUGACAUAGUACAAAAAUUUCAGAAUUGUAGUCCUAUAAUAAAUGACAUGGAUUUCCAAUAAAAGCUCUAAAUUGUGUUUCAGCAUGAAAAAGUUAAUACAGUCAUUGUUAUGUACUCCAUACACCAUUAAAAGCUAAAUGAAAUAAAAUUUUGGUAUCAAAAUGUGCAUGAAAUUCAGUUUUAAUGUUGCCCAAUAUUUGCGGCUAAGCACUACAAGACAGAGCACUGUAUCAUGUCAGUACAUUGUGAAAAGCAUGUAAAACUGUGUGAUGCAUUUUCUUCUUGUGUACUACAAAUGACAAAAUGUGCAUUUCAGAAAUAAUUUAGCCUUGUAAAUAACUUCUGACAAUGAAUUACAUAAGUGGUAAAAUGAAAGAUGUAAAAUAAACUUAGCUUUUAAAUGUCGAUUGCAUGUUAUGUUCAAAGUCAAAUAAAAUAUAUUCUGUUCUAUAA